UAGGAGCUUGCCUUUCCCCAUGGCCGCGCCUUCGAUCUCUCCUACCAAAUAGUUCUAGACCCGUUCUCUAGUGACCAGAUAGAUGCCAUCGCAAUCUCACAUCACCAAGUCUUCUUGGUUUUUCUCGUUUUCAGAUUUGUUUGAUACCAAAAUCGUUAUCCAUGCAGAAACCAGAGAAUGGCCUGUAAGUUUCACCAUCAACAGUGGUAGCCGACAGCACUUCU
rnacentral:lncRNA from 1 species